CAGCAGCCGCGGUAAUACGUAGGGGGCAAGCGUUAUCCGGAAUCACUGGGCGUAAAGGGUGCGUAGGCGGCCAAUAAAGUCAGAGGUGAAAUCCCAGGGCUCAACCCUGGUCAGCCUUUGAAACUUAAUGGCUUGAGUGCAGGAGAGGAGAGUGGAAUUCCUAGUGUAGCGGUGAAAUGCGUAGAUAUUAGGAGGAACACCAGUGGCGAAGGCGACUCUCUGGACUGUAACUGACGCUGAGGCACGAAAGUGUGGGUAGCAAACAGGAUUAGAUACCCUGGUAGUCCACACCGUAAACGAUGAGUGCUAGGUGUUGGGGGUCAAACCUCAGUGCCGCAGUUAACGCAUUAAGCACUCCGCCUGGGGAGUACGUUCGCAAGAAUGAAACUCAAAGGAAUUGACGGGGACCCGCACAAGCAGCGGAGCAUGUGGUUUAAUUCGAAGCAACGCGAAGAACCUUACCUGGACUUGACAUCCCUUGGACCGAUCUUUAAUAGGAUCCUUCCCUUCGGGGACUAAGGAGACAGGAGGUGCAUGGCC
rnacentral:rRNA from 1 species